UCUUGCUUCAGGGCCAGUCUGGAUGCUUCUCCUUGUGGCUAAUCUCCUGGGGCACGUAUACCAGGGUUCCAGGUCCAUCAUUUUACAAGCAGGAUCGGCCAUGAGGACAACUUCAGUGCAAGGCAUUUGCUGAGCUUCCUUAUGCUGUGCAUAAAACUGUAAGAAGAGAGUAGACCUCACAGCAUGCUGACAGCAUGUUGACGGCCAGCAGAAAGAAUGCACGGAUUAGAGAGUCCUGCGGUUGUUACCCGGACCUGUCUCAAGAAGAGAUGCUCGUGGAUGUAGGAGGGACUAGAGCUUCAGAUAGCACAUGGGACCACUCACUGCCUUUUGCAUUCACAACACCAUCUUCCUGGGGAAAACAAAGCUGGAGCACAACGUUUGGGAGUCUGAUGCAGUGGGCCCGACGAACCUUUGAGGAAGAACACGGUAACUUGGUGAGGACGGCUGUGAUUCUGUGGUAGGAGCAGUGGCAGCAGCUCUUGCUUGAGGUACACAUCUUCGCCUGAGCUGAGAAGCUCCCAUCUCUGGAUAGAGAUGCUAUCAAGUCGAGGGCAAGCAAAGCUCGAAGUCAUCUAGGAACCUGCUGUUUCAGCGGCGCUGUGUGCAGAGCACACAGUGGGCCCUGAGCUACAUAUGGUAUUGCUAGUGCCAUAUUUGUAAAUGAUUAGCAUCAGCUGAACAAGGUUAAGAAUCCAGAGUUCCUUCCUCUCCAACUGGUUUGUGGAUUCAGAAUUUCCCUCAGUGAGGCAAAGAGGAGAAAUGUGGGACCCCAAACCCAGUCCCAUUGUCUCUGAUGAAGACCUAAUUGAUGAGGGCUGCCAGAAGUCAGUGGCAGACUGCUUCCUAACAUGAAGGGGGACGUAGGUUCAUCUCCCGAGCCACAAAUCAAGCAAAAUACACACCUCCUAAGCAGUCUAUCCCCACCCCCAAAGUUGGAGUGGUAAGGGUAGCCUCGUGGAGGACUUUGGUGAAGUCCUCUGCAGGCAAGAAGUCUCAAAGGUCAGCAGAGGUGCCACCUUAGAGAAGCAACCUUCCAAACAGCUUGAACAGACUUGACGGCAGCUGCAGGUGGGGGAUUGACAGUCUCUGUCUAACUGCUGCUCCCUCGGGAGGCUUUCUAGGCCAACACAAGCUUUGGCUCUAACCACUGUUCCCUCUGAGCUAGGGCUGCUGGGUGGUCUAGGGAGCAGGAGGGCAGCAUGGGGGGUGGAGCUGGAGCUGGAGCAGGAGCAGGGUGAGGCAGGCCAAGCCUGACCUGAAAGAGAGGGAAAGGGAGAGGGAGAGGGAGAGAGAGGCAGAGACAGACAGAGAUGCAGAGCACAGGCAGACACAGAGAGACAGAGAGUUGGAUCUGGGUCCGGGGAAGACUGAUGCUCCUGGAGAGCUGAGGUCCUGGUUUGGGAAAGCAGAAAGAUCUAGAAGAUGCUGAAAUGCAACUCCACGAGGGGUCAAGCAACCUGCUGAGGGUCCAGGAUGAUGACCACAGAGAAGUUCCCGGGUCCCUGCUGCCCCAGGUGGUUAGGGUGUGGCGCACUGGGCCCCCUUCACCCCUACAUAUCUGGGACUCCAGAAAUGUGGCCGACAUGCUGCCCCCCCCCCCAAGGCUGCCAUUUGGAACGCAUUUGCAGACACAUG